rnacentral:lncRNA from 1 species
UAAUUAAAUUGCUAAGUUGUUGUUGUUGUUUUUUUUUUUUUUUUUUUUUUUGAGAGAGAUAGGUCGCUACCCGCUUUGUUUAUUUUAUUUAGAAAUAAACUUAGCUAGAAAUGUGAAUCAAAUAGGAUUCGAAUUUGGGUCUCGGGUACCAACCACCAAGCCCUUUGCCGCUUGCUCUAAGGAUGGUCGGUAUUGCUAAGUUGUUGUUAAUA